rnacentral:lncRNA from 1 species
CUGACAGUUUGGCUUCCCUGUUCCAGGUGGCAAAGCCUGUGGGGUAUUCACCUACCUGCUGCAUGAAGGCAGCAUGGAGGGACUGUGGUGGAUUAUCUGCAAAGAUGGCCCAAAUUCUCUCAUCCCUGCAGGUACAUACAAGACUAGGCAUUGCUCUGAUCAGAAGAGUCAAUCCUGGUGAAUUUAACUUGAGCCUCAGAAUCCUACUCAACACAAAGUUCCAGAGAGAAGAGAUUAUCAAUGCGAAUACCUUAGAGAUGGUACUGGCUGUGGAAUCUGUUAUCUCUUGACUAGAAUGAGGAAGAAAGAUGAAGAAUGAGGAGGAAGAAGGGAGGAACAAGAGAGAGAGGUAAAGCCAACAAGCAGAACAGACCUACAUUUGCAGCAUCUCCAAGUUUCUGCAACAGCUUUAUGUUGUUGUUAUGUUUUGUUUUAAUAAAAGCACAUACCAUUUUU